CGUUGUCAAAAAAUGUCUAAAAUUGUAUUCUAGAAACAAUAAAUGUCAGGAAUAAUGUCAAUUCAGUCAUUUUUAAAAACGAAGUAAAAGUCUCAAUCACUAAAUAAUAAAAAAUAAUAGGAAAAAUUUUAAGUGCAUAAUACCCAUUCGUUUUCUUAAUUAAAUAAUAAAACACAUACGAUAGGAUCAAAAUGUGUAGCCCAAUACAGAAUUUGCCAAGUUACAAGGAGCCGCCGGAAUUCAUCCCCUGCCUGCCCGUCCAGGGUCCGAGAUGCCUCCCAUGCGGUAUGGACCCGGUAACUCUGCGCCGGCCGCUAAUAGUUCACGACAGUACCUUUGACUACAGGCCAACAAGCUGGCCAGGGAUGGUGCUGAACAACCAAGACAAAAAAGUUCGAUACCAACUUAUCAACUAUGAACGUCCUGUAAAAUCUCAUUAUCCUUCGUGUGCACAUUCGUAUAAUUAUUAAAUGGUGGAAGCGGUGGUUGCGCGCCAUGCUGCGGCUCAUGUCACCCGCCAUGCUGCAGCGGCGCCUCCCUCGUCACAGUAUACAGUCAAGUAGCACAUAUCCAGUGACGGCUUGCGCAUCGUGUUGCAUAAAUGCAGUGCUCGCUGUUGGUCAACCUCCUCGUCCGGUGGCCGCCUUCGAUAAAGCUGUGAUUGCUCUUGGACAUCAUGGCUGAAAACUAUCCCACUGGAGGAACAAAUAAGAAAUCUUGUAGUGUAGUUAAUAAUUUGGUGAAAGUGAAUGCUGUCAAGAUUACGUUUAUGUGAAAAUGUUAAAUAAAUAUGUGACUUAUGA
rnacentral:lncRNA from 1 species